CCUGAUGCAGCAACGCCGCGUGAGGGACGACGGCCUUCGGGUUGUAAACCUCUUUUAGCAGGGAAGAAGCGAAAGUGACGGUACCUGCAGAAAAAGCACCGGCUAACUACGUGCCAGCAGCCGCGGUAAUACGUAGGGUGCAAGCGUUGUCCGGAAUUAUUGGGCGUAAAGAGCUCGUAGGCGGUUUGUCGCGUCUGCUGUGAAAUCCCGAGGCUCAACCUCGGGUCUGCAGUGGGUACGGGCAGACUAGAGUGCGGUAGGGGAGAUUGGAAUUCCUGGUGUAGCGGUGGAAUGCGCAGAUAUCAGGAGGAACACCGAUGGCGAAGGCAGAUCUCUGGGCCGCUACUGACGCUGAGGAGCGAAAGGGUGGGGAGCAAACAGGCUUAGAUACCCUGGUAGUCCACCCCGUAAACGUUGGGCGCUAGAUGUGGGGACCAUUCCACGGUUUCCGUGUCGUAGCUAACGCAUUAAGCGCCCCGCCUGGGGAGUACGGCCGCAAGGCUAAAACUCAAAGGAAUUGACGGGGGCCCGCACAAGCGGCGGAGCAUGCGGAUUAAUUCGAUGCAACGCGAAGAACCUUACCAAGGCUUGACAUAUACGAGAACGGGCCAGAAAUGGUCAACUCUUUGGACA
rnacentral:rRNA from 1 species